GAUGAACGCUAGCGGCAGGCUUAAUACAUGCAAGUCGUGGGGCAGCAUGAAUGUAGCAAUACAUUUGAUGGCGACCGGCAAACGGGUGCGGAACACGUACACAACCUUCCUAUAAGUGGGGAAUAGCCCAGAGAAAUUUGGAUUAAUACCCCGUAACAUAACGAUGUGGCAUCACAUUGUUAUUAUAGCUUCGGCGCUUAUUGAUGGGUGUGCGGCUGAUUAGAUAGUUGGCGGGGUAACGGCCCACCAAGUCUACGAUCAGUAGCUGAUGUGAGAGCAUGAUCAGCCACACGGGCACUGAGACACGGGCCCGACUCCUACGGGAGGCAGCAGUAAGGAAUAUUGGUCAAUGGACGCAAGUCUGAACCAGCCAUGCCGCGUGAAGGAUUAAGGUCCUCUGGAUUGUAAACUUCUUUUAUCUGGGACGAAAAAAGGCGAUUCUUCGUCACUUGACGGUACCAGAUGAAUAAGCACCGGCUAACUCCGUGCCAGCCGCCGCCGUAAUAC
rnacentral:rRNA from 1 species